UGCACUAUUGUAAAGUGGCUGUUCCACUGGAUGUCAUAAGGUGAACGCACCAAUUUGUAAGUCGCUCUGGAUAAGAGCGUCUGCUAAAUGACUUAAAUGUAAAUGUAAUGAGACUCGCAUAAUGGUCAGAAUUAAAAAUAUAUAUUGUAUUUUAAACAGCAACAGUCUCCAAACCAGACUUUCUUUCAACAAGUGUGCUGCCAUCCUGUUAGAAGGUAACAGAUUAUUUUAUUACAAUGGUUCAAUUGGAUUUGCAUUGUGUUCAAUGGUGUUAUUUUGCCCCCUAGUGGCGCUUUCUGGUACUUAGAAAGACGAUGCAAACAGGAAGUACAGAAUUUGUUUUGCACGCAUAGAAACAGCUACAAACAACGGUACGGUGCAGGUCUUUCAAUGUAGUUAUUUCUUGUCACGCUUCAGCCUUGGAAAAAUAUUUGUUUUUUCACAACAUAAACGUUUUCAAUAUAUUCAUUCAAGAAAAGUCACGCCUUGGGAGUUUUAUUGAAGACUUAGUUGUUAGCUAUCUGUCUAGUUUUGCAUGGCAACGCAACUCAAGGGCAGAAUAACAAUAUGUUCUACAGUAAAGAUGUACAGUUGGCCUGAUAAUUUUUCAUCUGUACUGUUACUAAGGGUUGCACUAUCAAAAAGCCUGUGUGUGUGUGUGUUCUGUUAUUCAUCUGUGUGAUGUGAUCAAUCAGUUUAUUCUAGUUCAGAAUGAAAAUGAUUUGUUGCAUUUUAGCAGCAACAGUUCCAACCUCGACUGAUAUGUCAGAGUGUUUUUAAUGGGGGGAAAUAAACAUGAAUACAUAUUCAUAUGAA